GAAAGAUUUUACUACAAAAUUUUGUGUAAUUUCCUUGAAGGUUGGCAAUAACACAAUAAGCGGACUUUCCGUGCCUAUCAAGUUUCUUAUACAUGGCCUCAUGCAGAUGCAAGUCGCUACAUC
rfam:Brassica napus, WGS project CCCW01000000 data, contig: 8067